rnacentral:rRNA from 1 species
AACGAACGCUGGCGGCAGGCUUAAUACAUGCAAGUCGAACGCUCCAGCAAUGGAGAGUGGCAGACGGGUGAGUAACGCGUGGGAAUCUACCCAAUACUACGGAAUAGCUCCGGGAAACUGGAAUUAAUACCGUAUGUGCCCUACGGGGGAAAGAUUUAUCGGUAUUGGAUGAGCCCGCGUUGGAUUAGCUAGUUGGUGGGGUAAUGGCCUACCAAGGCGACGAUCCAUAGCUGGUCUGAGAGGAUGAUCAGCCACACUGGGACUGAGACACGGCCCAGACUCCUACGGGAGGCAGCAGUAGGGAAUAUUGGACAAUGGGCGAAAUCCUGAUCCAGCCAUGCCGCGUGAGUGAUGAAGGCCUUAGGGUUGUAAAGCUCUUUUAGCAGGGAAGAUAAUGACGGUACCUGCAGAAAAAGCCCCGGCUAACUUCGUGCCAGCCGCCGCGGUAAUAC